CUGGUUGAUCCUGCCGGACCUGACUGCUAUCGGAUUGGUACUAAGCCAUGUGAGUCGUUGUAGCAAUACAAGGCAUACGGCUCAGUAACACGUAGUCAAUCUAACCUAUGGACGGGGAUAACCUCGGGAAACUGAGGAUAAACCCCGAUAGAUCAUAAUGCCUGGAACGGUUUAUGGUCCAAAUGAUUCGUCGCCGUAGGGUGGGACUGCGGCCUAUCAGCUUGUUGGUGAGGUAAUGGCCCACCAAGGCUAUUACAGGUACGGGCUCUGAGAGGAGAAGCCCGGAGAUGGGUACUGAGACACGGACCCAGGCCCUAUGGGGCGCAGCAGGCGAGAAACCUUUGCAAUGUGCGCAAGCACGACAAGGUUAAUCCGAGUGUUUCCUGUUAAAGGAAUCUUUUGUUAGUUCUAAAACCACUGAUGAAUAAGGGGUGGGCAAGUUCUGGUGUCAGCCGCCGCGGUAAAACCAGCACCUCAAGUGGUCAGGAUGAUUAUUGGGCCUAAAGCAUCCGUAGCCUGUUCUGUAAGUUUCCGGUUAAAUCCAUUAGCUCAACUAAUGGGCUGCCGAAAAUACUGCAGAACUAGGGAGUGGGAGAGGUAGACGGUACUCGGUAGGAAGGGGUAAAAUCCUUUGAUCUAUUGAUGACCACCUGUGGCGAAGGCGGUCUACCAGAACACGUUCGACGGUGAGGGAUGAAAGCUGGGGGAGCAAACCGGAUUAGAUACCCGGGUAGUCCCAGCUGUAAACGAUGCAGACUCGGUGAUGCGCUGGCUUGUGGCCAGUGCAGUGCCGCAGGGAAGCCGUUAAGUUUGCCGCCUGGGAAGUACGUACGCAAGUAUGAAACUUAAAGGAAUUGGCGGGGGAGCACCACAAGGGGUGAAGCCUGCGGUUCAAUUGGAGUCAACGCCGG
rnacentral:rRNA from 1 species